rnacentral:rRNA from 1 species
GUGGGGAAUCUUAGACAAUGGGGGCAACCCUGAUCUAGCCAUGCCGCGUGAGUGAUGAAGGCCUUAGGGUCGUAAAGCUCUUUCGCCGGGGAAGAUAAUGACGGUACCCGGUAAAGAAACCCCGGCUAACUCCGUGCCAGCAGCCGCGGUAAUACGGAGGGGGUUAGCGUUGUUCGGAAUUACUGGGCGUAAAGCGCGCGUAGGCGGAUCGGAAAGUUGGGGGUGAAAUCCCGGGGCUCAACCCCGGAAUUGCCUUCAAAACUCCCGGUCUUGAGGUCGAGAGAGGUGAGUGGAAUUCCGAGUGUAGAGGUGAAAUUCGUAGAUAUUCGGAAGAACACCAGUGGCGAAGGCGACACACUGGCUCAUUACUGACGCUGAGGCGCGAAAGCGUGGGGAGCAAACAGGAUUAGAUACCCCUGUAGUCC